rnacentral:rRNA from 1 species
GAUGAACGCUAGCUACAGGCUUAACACAUGCAAGUCGAGGGGAAACGACAUUGGAAGCUUGCUUCCGAUGGGCGUCGACCGGCGCACGGGUGAGUAACGCGUAUCCAACCUGCCCAUCACUUGGGGAUAACCUUGCGAAAGUAAGACUAAUACCCAAUGAUAUCUCUAGAAGACAUCUGAAAGGGAUUAAAGAUUUAUCGGUGAUGGAUGGGGAUGCGUCUGAUUAGCUUGUUGGCGGGGUAACGGCCCACCAAGGCGACGAUCAGUAGGGGUUCUGAGAGGAAGGUCCCCCACAUUGGAACUGAGACACGGUCCAAACUCCUACGGGAGGCAGCAGUGAGGAAUAUUGGUCAAUGGGCGAGAGCCUGAACCAGCCAAGUAGCGUGCAGGAUGACGGCCCUAUGGGUUGUAAACUGCUUUUAUAAGGGAAUAAAGUGAGUCUCGUGAGACUUUUUGCAUGUACCUUAUGAAUAAGGACCGGCUAAUUCCGUGCCAGCAGCCGCGGUAA